rnacentral:rRNA from 1 species
UUUUGGGUCUUGUAAUCGGAAUGAGUACAAUUUAAAUCCCUUAACGAGGAACAAUUGGAGGGCAAGUCUGGUGCCAGCAGCCGCGGUAAUUCCAGCUCCAAUAGCGUAUAUUAAAGUUGUUGUGGUUAAAAAGCUCGUAGUUGAACCUUGGGCCUGGCUGGCCGGUCCCCCUCACCGGGUGCACUGAUCCAGCCGGGCUUUCCCCCCUGUGAACCCCCAUGGCCUUCACUGGCUGUGGCGGGGAACCAGAAUUUUUACUUUGAAAAAAUUAGAGUGCUCAAGGCAGGCUUAUCCCAAACUACAUUAGCAUGGAAUAAUAGAAUAGGACGUGUGGUUCUAUUUUGUUGGUUUCUAGGACCGCCGUAAUGAUUAAUAGGGACAGUCGGGGGCAUCAGUAUUCAAUUGUCAGAGGUGAAAUUCUUGGAUCUAUUGAAGACUAACUACUGCGAAAGCAUUUGCCAAGGAUGUUUUCAUUGAUAAGGAACGAAAGUUAGGGGAUCGAAGACGAUCAGAUACCGUCGUAGUCUUAACUAUAAACU